GCGCACGUGGUGAAAUUGGUAGACACGCCACCUUGAGGGGGUGGUGCCUUAACUGGUGUGGAAGUUCGAAUCUUCUCGUGCGCACAA
rnacentral:tRNA from 2 species